rnacentral:rRNA from 1 species
GAUGAACGCUGGCGGCGUGCCUAAUACAUGCAAGUCGAGCGAACGGACGAGAAGCUUGCUUCUCUGAUGUUAGCGGCGGACGGGUGAGUAACACGUGGAUAACCUACCUAUAAGACUGGGAUAACUUCGGGAAACCGGAGCUAAUACCGGAUAAUAUUUUGAACCGCAUGGUUCAAAAGUGAAAGACGGUCUUGCUGUCACUUAUAGGUGGAUCCGCGCUGCAUUAGCUAGUUGGUAAGGUAACGGCUUACCAAGGCAACGAUGCAUAGCCGACCUGAGAGGGUGAUCGGCCACACUGGAACUGAGACACGGUCCAGACUCCUACGGGAGGCAGCAGUAGGGAAUCUUCCGCAAUGGGCGAAAGCCUGACGGGGCAACGCCGCGUGAGUGAUGAAGGUCUUCGGAUCGUAAAACUCUGUUAUUAGGGAAGAACAUAUGUGUAAGUAACUGUGCACAUCUCGACGGUACCUAAUCAGAAAGCCACGGCUAACUACGUG